CAAUUUAUUCAAUUUUCGUUUAUUUUCUUUCUUUUUAGAAAUAAACUUAACUGAAAAUGUGAAUCAAUUAGGAUUCGAAAUUUGGACCUCGGGUAUCAACCAUCAAGUCUUUUGUCUCUUGCGCUAGGGACAGUCGGUUUAUUUUACGGUUUUGUUAAACAAAUUGUGCAUGCGAUAGCUUAAUUUGUGUGAAAGAAUUU
rnacentral:lncRNA from 1 species